rnacentral:rRNA from 1 species
CAAUAGCGUAUAUUAAAGUUGUUGCAGUUAAAAAGCUCGUAGUUGGAUUUCUGGUGGGAGCGAUCGGUCUGGCGCUUAGCGCGAGUACUUGCAUCGUCUCCGGCCAUCCUUGGGGAGAGUCUGUCUGGCAUUAGGUUGUCGGGCAGAGGAUCCUCAUCGUUUACUGUGAAAAAAUUAGAGUGUUCAAAGCAGGCUUAUGCCGUUGAAUAUAUUAGCAUGGAAUAAUAAGAUAGGACUUUGGUACUAUUUUGUUGGUUUGCGCACCAAAGUAAUGAUUAAUAGGGACAGUUGGGGGUAUUCGUAUUCCGUUGUCAGAGGUGAAAUUCUUGGAUUUCUGAAAGACGAACUACUGCGAAAGCAUUUACCAAGGAUGUUUUCAUUAA